UACACAAUCAUGGGGAAGACUGCUGACUUGACAGUUGUCCAAAAGACGACCAUUGACACCUUGCACAAGGAGGGCAAGACACAAAAGGUCAUUGCAAAAGAGGCUGGCUGUUCACAGAGCUCUGUGUCCAAGCACAUUAAUAGAGAGGCGAAGGAUUGUGAAACAAAACCCAUUCAAUGUGGGGGAGAUUCACAAAGAGUGGACUGCUGCUGGAGCCAGUGCUUCAAGAACCACUACACACAGACGUAUGCAAGACAUGGGUUUCAGCUGUCGCACUCCUUGUGUCAAGCCACUCUUGAACAACAGACAGCGUCAGAAGCGUCUCGCCUCAAAAAGGACUGGACUGCUGCUGAGUGGUCCAAAGUUAUGUUCUCUGAUGAAAGUAAAUCAGGGUCCCAGAAUCUGGAGGAAGAGAAGAGAGGCACAUAAUCCACAUUGCUU